ensembl:lncRNA
CCAUGUCCUUACAACAGCAGGUAGAAGUCUGAUGUCCCUUUAUACCACAGGCUGGACAGUCCAUGUCCUUACAACAGCAGGUAGAAGUCUAAUGUCCCUUUAUACCACAGGCUGGACCAUGUCCUUACAACAGCAGGUAGAAGUCUGAUGUCCCUUUAUAUCACAGGCUGGACAGUCCAUGUCCUUACCACAGGCUGGACAGUCCAUGUCCUUACACCAGCAUGUAGAAGUCUGAUGUCCCUUUAUACCACAGGCUGGACAGUCCAUGUCCUUACAACAGGCUGGACAGUCCAUGUCCUUACAACAGGCUGGACAGUCCAUGUCCUUACAACAGGUUGGACAGUCCAUGUCCUUACACCAGCAGGUAGACUGGAUAUUAUCCCCCUAUGUCUUAUUACCUGUUCUGUCUGGAUGUAACAGGCUGACUAGUAAAUUACAUGUCUUUGGCCCCAUUACACUAAAAACUUGUCCUCAACCAUGUAAUUUACAAUUACAAAAUAUUCAAACCGUUCUGAAUAUGAGCUCCACUGCUCAAUGGUUCCAUCAA